AGCAGCCGCGGUAAUUCCAGCUCCAAUAGUGUAUAUUAAAGUUGCUGCGGUUAAAAAGCUCGUAGUUGGAUUUCGGAGUUGUUAUCUGAACCUUCUCGCCAUAAAAAGUGGGGGGCUAAGGUAGCAGUAGUUUUCAUCAUAGUCCACCAGGAUACUCUCUUGGUGUGUACUGGGUGUUAACCUCCUUUUUUUCUGGUACUUGCUAUCCAGCAAUGGGUAGUUUUGUCCAGAUAGUUUACUUUGAAAAAAUUAGAGUGUUCAAAGCAGGCAUAAUUGGCAUCAUGAAUACAUUAGCAUGGGAUAAUAGAAUAUGACAUUGGUCUUAUUUGUUGGUUUCUAAGGCCAAAGUAAUGAUUGAUAGGGAUAGUUGGGGCCGCUCGUAUUGAGUUGUCAGAGGUGAAAUUCUAGGAUUUACUCAAGACGAACUAAUGCGAAAGACAUUCGGCAAGGAUGUUUUCAUUAAUCAAGAACGAAAGUUAGGGGGAUCGAAGAUGAUCAGAUACCGUCGUAGUCUCAACCAUAAACUAAUGU
rnacentral:rRNA from 1 species